UGGCUGACACCUUUCCGGCACACAGACAGGGCAGAGCUCAGUGCUGUCAAGUCGUCUGCUGGAUAUUCCACGUCACUCACAGUUCAGUGGUGCGCAAGAGAGGAUCCACUGACACCAGGUCCAGGAGAAAGCGAGAGAGCUCUGAGACACAACAUGGCAAACCUCUGCGAGACCCCCAGAGAGGACUACCCUGAGCUACACCCUUGGUCUCCAUGGAUACUCAGAGAUUGUGAGCCGUUAUUGAAGCAAUACACCAGUGUUUGAAGGUGAAGCAGGCAGCGCACGUCAGGCCGGGCAGAGUGGAUGGCAGCAUGCAGGUCAAAGACGCCAAGGUCCACCCCCAGUGCGGUGCUGCCCUGCUCAACCACCUCCCCCAGGACAUUCACCUUUACCUGGGGACACAUGCAUCAUCCUUCAGAGCCUGCGGGGGAUGUGGGUGCCCGUGUUUGUGUACGAAGGAACAAUAAAGAUGGCAGAGUGCUGUGUUUCAAAACAGCUGCAGGCCGUCGCCUCGCUGUACGACAAGCCGUCUGGAAGCACCAGGAAGUGAUCCUGCUCCUUACUCACGCGCAGCUGGAAAGACAGGCGAGGCACCUCAAUGCGCCGAGAAAUUCGACGAAAGACUGUGCAGCUGCAGCUGGACGCACGGAUAUACAAAGACGCAUCCGGAACAGAGAUGCAGUCAGGCUGACAGCCGGCUCUUCGUGGGGACAGGCGGGCUCACCGUGAGGUAUGUGCGGCUGAGGCGGGCCCAGCCGUAAAAGUCCAACAGGCGGUAAACGCUGGCCAGUUUGCAGCGCUGCAGGCCCUCCCCCUUCGCCAUGGAGCCAGGAUCCCUGCCUCGCAGGUCAUUGAUCGGCAUCACUGUCGUCAAGGCUACAGUGACCAGGGGACAGCCAGUGCAGAUGGUAGCCGCACGCCAUUAGGACCCACAAAGGAACAAGUAAAAAUAUUAGGUAUCAUGUUAAGCAAGUAAAUAGUUUAUCACUGUGCUUACAAGUAAAAACUGAAUUUGACUUGAUAUUGACUAGUCCUUUGCGUUGAGUCGAUGCGAAACAUCGACAUGAUGAGAUUAUUAUGUGCCAAGUGAUGCUAGGACACCACAAAGAGGUAAUUUUGGUGUCUCAGUGGGUCCUCAAUGGUACACAAUUUCACUUAGAAGCAGUGGUCUAUGCCCCUACAGCAGUAAAGAAGUGAUGGGCAAAAUGAUUCUUCUUGAACCAUUUGCUGUAUUUCUUGACUCCACUAGAUGGUGCUCUUGGUUUGCUUUGGGGCAUGCUCUGUGCCCAUUUUUGCAAAGAGAGCACCAUCUAGUGGGUUAAAAAAAUACAGCAAAUAGUUCAUUAAUUAAGCGUCAUUUUGUCCAUCACUACAGCAAAGUUUCUACAUAGCAUCGAGUGUGUUAAUUCACAUCUGCUAACAUGUAGCAUCAGUCGGGGUUUGUAUGCGGCAAUGAGACAACAGGAGACACCUACAACAUGGCGAGGUGGGGAGAGCCACAGAGGCACCAUAGGAAGACAGGAAGUCAGCAAUGCGCUGCAGGGCCCACAGGCUGGAGGAGCUGCUGUCCUUCUUCAUCUGAUCCUGGAUCAGGAUAUCCAGCUCUUCCCUGAAGGACUGACAAUGAGGAAGAGAAAGAAUGCUAUGAGCAGACAUAGAAUGUAAUCGAUGAGGGCAGUGUGAAUAUGAUUGAAAGCAUCUGUAGGACAUAGAUUACACAAGGCAACAACAAAAAAUUUUUUGUUUUGUUCCUGGCAAGACAAUGUAAUUUUCAUGUUGCUUGGGUCAAAAGCAACUAGUAACAAUCAUCCAUUGAUUCAAAACAUUGGUUUUGUCACUUCUGUCCAACAUUUUGUAUACAGUCAUGGCCAUAAGUUUAGCAUCACUGCAGCAAAACCUUGUUUGAGUCACUGCUAAUAAUUCUGUCGUUCAAUGGCAUUAAGUUAUGGUGCCAAGCUGUUGUAUAUAUAAAGUCUAAACAUACAGCGAUGUAAUUGCUGUAACAUCAGUCAGAUAUAUCGCUAGAUGUCGUUGACAUGGCUACCUACAAGAAUUCUUUCCCAAGCUGUCUGAGGCUAAAGUAAAAGCUGGUAUCUUUGUUGGACCACAGAUAAAGAAAAUAAUGGAGUGUCAGCAAUUUCCCAGCACUCUCACAGAGAUCCAAAAGGCAGCUUGGAGUAGCUUCAUCGCAGUAGUACGGGAAUUCCUCGGAAAUCAUAAGGCUGAGAAUUAUGUGUAUGUGGUAGAGACACUAGAAAGGAACUAUCAGGCUAUGGGGUGUAGGAUGUCGCUAAAGGUGCACAUCCUGGAUGCUCAUCUACAAACUUUUAAGGAGAACAUGAGAGCGUACUCAGAGGAACAAGGAGAAAGAUUCCACCAAGAUCUCAAGGAAUUUGAGCGUCGAUACCAAGGACAAUACAACAAGAAUAUGAUGGGGGACUACAUCUGGGGUCUUGUUUGUGACAGUAACUUAGUUUACAAUCAUCAGUCUAAAAGGACAUGUAAUUCUUAAGUUUAAUUGGACUAUAUGGACACAAGUGAGAUGAUUUUGUAAAAAAAAGUCUCUUGCAAAGGCUGUUAAUGUUAUCUAAUGUGUGUUCUGAACUAUUGAUUUCCUGACCACAAAAUCAAAGAUAUUUUGAAAUGAAA